GCAGUUGGUAGCGCUAUUGCCUUGCAGCAAGAAGGUCCUGGUUUCAAUUCCCGGCCCGGGGUCUUUCUGCAUGGAGUUUGCAUGUUCUCCCUGUGCAUGUGUGGGUUCUCUCCGGGUUCUCCGGCUUCCUCCCAAAAACAUGACACACGCCCACACCCCUACACACCCACGCGAGUUGGAAGUGAUCACUUACCCUAUGGGAUCUCACACGACCGUUGUGCUUGUGCUCUGCAAGUGCCAGAGCCAAUAGUUUUUCCCCACAUCGUUUUUUUUUGUCCUGCGGUGCCUCGCUGUCUCUCCCCCCCUUCUCCUCCCCCUUCUCGUUUUGCUCUUCUGCCAGUGCUAGAGCAGAGAGUUUUUUUCCCUCGGUCGGUCCACUGCCCUCAUGUCAAGCGUGUGCUCCACACAUCUGACCAAUCACACAUAACACUGAAUAUUAUUUGAUAUUUGUAUUGUGGCACCUUUUCUGUUAUGAAGCUGCUUUGAUAUUUUUUCGUAUUGUGGUGGGUGUUUGUAUUUAUGUUUAACUGUUUAAUUUAUUUUAAGUUAUUUUUGUGGAAGUGGUGCUAUUUUGUGAUAAUUUAAUUGGUUAUAAUAAAAGGUUCAUUUAUAAAGCAUUGUUAUGCGGCAUUUUUACUCAUCAUAAGUGCUUAACAAUGUCAAUAAUGAAACAAAAUAUUAUAAAAUUAGGUUUAAGCUAUUAAUUAAUUAAUAAUGUCAAAAAUAUAUAUGGGGAGCCGUUUGGGAGCCGAAAGAGCCGGCUCUCCACAGUAAGAAGAGCCAUUAGAGCCGCAUUUCGAAAAGGAGCCGAAAAUCCCAUCACUGAUUAACUGGUCAGA